UACGUAGGUGGCAAGCGUUGUCCGGAAUUAUUGGGCGUAAAGCGCGCGCAGGCGGUCCUUUAAGUCUGAUGUGAAAGCCCACGGCUCAACCGUGGAAGGUCAUUGGAAACUGGGGGACUUGAGUGCAGAAGAGGAAAGUGGAAUUCCAAGUGUAGCGGUGAAAUGCGUAGAGAUUUGGAGGAACACCAGUGGCGAAGGCGACUUUCUGGUCUGUAACUGACGCUGAGGCGCGAAAGCGUGGGGAGCAAACAGG
rnacentral:rRNA from 1 species